UACGUAGGCAGCAAGCGUUGUUCGGAGUUACUGGGCGUAAAGGGUGCGUAGGCGGCCUUAUAAGUAUGGUGUGAAAUCUCCCGGCUUAACUGGGAGGGUGCGCUAUAGACUGUGAGGCUAGAGUGUGGGAGAGGAAAGUGGAAUUCCUGGUGUAGCGGUGAAAUGCGUAGAUAUCAGGAGGAACACCGGUGGUGUAAACGGCUUUCUGGACCAUAACUGGACGCUGAGGCACGAAAGCGUGGGUAGCAAACAGG
rnacentral:rRNA from 1 species